UCCCCGUCUCUCUCUCUCUGGAUCUCCCCUCUGCGCCCACUUCUAUCAACAGCCGUAUUCAAUUCCCCUGAAGCACAUGAAAUCAAAUUUGCACACAUUUUUGAGCUUUUUGCCCUCGUUGAUUUGUUUUAUAUAUAUAUAUUUAUAUUUUUUUUUUCAGUGCGGGACGAAUUAUGUUUGCUUUUUGGAGAAUAAUCUGAACCCAAUUACUUUUUUGUACUUUCAGUUUGUUUGGUUACACUCGACUGUCGGGAAUCAUUUGAUGUCGUCUGUUUACGGCUCUGCAAUGUGCAAUCUUCCUCCAGCUGUUCUGCGGCGUGCGUCUGGGUGAAGAUGGCAGCGUAUAGAGAGAUAACAAGGUUGCCAGUAAUUACCCACAGUCCUCUCCUGAUUCACUCAGACGUACUUUCAACAAGAGGAGAACAGUCACCUCCUGUCAGCUUCUUGCAGGGAAUCGAUGCUACUAGCGAAGUAUCGUCUGCCGAACCAGAGCCUGAUAACCUGAAGCAUCUUCUUCCCCGAGAGCCAUACGGCGCUAACAGUGGACAAAAAUGAUUUCUUACAACAAUUAGACACACUGGUGCUCCGGCUCAUCAUGAAUCAUCAUCAUCAUU